rnacentral:rRNA from 1 species
AGUGAACGCUGGCGGUAGGCCUAACACAUGCAAGUCGAACGGCAGCACAGUAAGAGCUUGCUCUUACGGGUGGCGAGUGGCGGACGGGUGAGGAAUACAUCGGAAUCUACUUUUUCGUGGGGGAUAACGUAGGGAAACUUACGCUAAUACCGCAUACGACCUACGGGUGAAAGCAGGGGAUCUUCGGACCUUGCGCGAUUGAAUGAGCCGAUGUCGGAUUAGCUAGUUGGCGGGGUAAAGGCCCACCAAGGCGACGAUCCGUAGCUGGUCUGAGAGGAUGAUCAGCCACACUGGAACGGAGACACGGUCCAGACUCCUACGGGAGGCAGCAGUGGGGAAUAUUGGACAAUGGGCGCAAGCCUGAUCCAGCCAUACCGCGUGGGUGAAGAAGGCCUUCGGGUUGUAAAGCCCUUUUGUUGGGAAAGAAAAGCAGCAGGUUAAUACCCCGCUGUUCUGACGGUACCCAAAGAAUAAGCACCGGCUAACUUC